UGUGGCUCACGUCUGUACUCCCAGAGCCUUGGGAGGUCGAGGCGGGAAGAUCGCUUGAGCCCGGGAGCUCGAGACCAGACGCGGCAACAUGGCGAGACGCACAUCUCUGCCUUUAAAAAUGAGAGGCUGGCGGUUACCUUUCUUGGGGAGACGCGUCCGACUGCUUCAUUGUGGGGGCCUCAGGAGCGGAGGAUCGGGUCCCGCCCGAGGUGACGCGUAAACCCAGACUCUCAGCAACGCGGGUAGGAAGGACCCUUGAAGUUCCGCGGCGACCACGUCGGCUGAAACCAGCAGCCCAGGACAAGUGGACCAGCCAGCAAGACCCAGACCAUCCAAACCGGCUGAUCCUACGACAGGACCCAGAUGCCAGUGAAAGUGACCACAGCCCUGCUCUAGUCACCCCGGAAGCUGACCAGUCUACGCACGGCCGAAGCUUCGUCAAGGAAGUAAAUGUAGUUAGAAAUCUUAA
rnacentral:lncRNA from 1 species